UACGUAGGGGGCAAGCGUUGUCCGGAUUUAUUGGGCGUAAAGAGCGUGUAGGCGGCCAUUCAGGUCAGCUGUGAAAACUCGAGGCUCAACCUCGAGACGUCGGUUGAAACCGUUUGGCUAGAGUCCGGAAGAGGAGAGUGGAAUUCCCGGUGUAGCGGUGAAAUGCGCAGAUAUCGGGAAGAACACCCGUGGCGAAGGCGAGUCCCUGGACAACACCUGACACUGAGGCACGAAAGCUGGGGGAGCAAACAGG
rnacentral:rRNA from 1 species